UCCGCCUCAUUCAGCCGUGCCACCGAGCGGGACGGGCGCGGGCCAUGCAGCGGACAGCGGGCAAGGAGCUCAACCUGGCGCCGCUGCAGGACUGGGGCGAGGAGACCGAGGACGGCGCGGUGUACAGUGUCUCCCUGCGGCGACAGCGCAGUCAGCGCUUGAGCCCGGGGCAGAGGCCUGGAGGCGGCCAGGUCCCCACCCCCACUACGGACACUUUCCUCCAUUAUCGCACGAGCAAGGUGCGGGCGCUGAGGGCGGCUCGUCUGGAGCGGCUGGUGGGCGAGUUGGUGUCCGGCGACCCGGAGCAGGACCCUGGCUUCGUGCCUGCCUUCCUGGCCACCUACCGGGCCUUUGUGCCUACUGCUCGUGUGCUGGGUUUUCUGUUGCCACCACCCCCGCCGCCCCCACCUCCCGGGGUGGCGAUCAAGGAGACAGAGACACAGGAUCUGAGCUUCAACAAGAACCUGAGGGCUGUGGUAUCAGUGCUGGGCUCCUGGCUGCGGGACCACCCGCAGGACUUCCGAGAUCCCCCUGCCCACCUGGACCUGGGCAGUGUCCAAACUUUUCUGAGCUGGGCAGCCCCAGGGGGUGCUGAAGCCCGGGAAGCAGAGAAACUUCUGGAAGUUUUCUUGGAGGAGGCUGAGAAAGAGCAGGAAAAAGAGGAGCAGCCCCUAGCAUGGGCAGGACCUCCCAGAGCUGCCCAACCCCCUAGUCCAGACUCCCCGGAGGGCUGCGCGGAAGAGGAGGAAGAAGGGCUUGUGCGGGAGGGUCCUGAGCUCCUGGACUUCAGCGUGGACGAGGUGGCCGAGCAGCUGACCCUUAUGGACGUGGAGCUCUUCUUGCGCGUGCGGCCCUGCGAGUGCCUGGGCUCCGUGUGGUCGCAGAGAGACCGGCCGGGGGCUGCAGGCGCCGCCGCCACCGUGCGCGCCACGGUGGCCCAGUUCAACACGGUGACCGGCUGUGUGCUGAGCUCGGUGCUCGGGGCGCCGGGCCUUGCCGCCCCACAGAGGGCGCAGCGGCUGGAGAAGUGGAUCCGCAUCGCUCAGCGCUGCCGAGAACUGCGCAACUUCUCUUCCCUGCGGGCCAUCCUGUCCGCCCUGCAGUCUAACCCCAUCCACCGGCUCAAGCGCUGCUGGGGGGCUGUGAGCCGGGAACCAUUAUCCAUUUUCAGGAAACUUUCGCAGAUCUUUUCUGAUGAGAACAACCACCUCAGCAGCAGAGAGAUUCUUUCCCAGGAAGAGGCCACUGAUGGACCCCAAGAGGAGGACUCACCCCCAGGAAGCCUGCCAACAAAACCACCCCCAGGCCCUGUUCCCUACCUUGGCACAUUCCUCACGGACCUGGUUAUGCUGGACACAGCCCUGCCGGACAUGUUGGAGGGGGAUCUCAUCAACUUUGAGAAGAGGAGGAAGGAGUGGGAGAUUCUUGCCCGCAUCCAGCAGCUGCAGAGGCGCUGUCAGAGCUACAGCCUGAGCCCCCGGCCGCCCAUCCUGGCCGCCCUGCGUGCCCAGCGUCAGCUCAGCGAGGAGCAGAGCUACCGAGUCUCCCGUGUCAUCGAGCCACCGGCUGCCUCCUGCCCCAGCUCCCCACGGCUCCGGCGGCACAUCAGCCUCACCAAGCGCCUCAGCGUGAAGCUGGCCCGAGAGAAAAGUUCAUUCUCUGAUGGGAGUCCUGGGGAUCCCUCUUCACCCACCUCCAGCUCUGUGUCUCCCCCAGUCUGUCCCCAGGGUCCCCUCCAUCCAGUCCUACAGCCAGGGACCCUCCUCCUGGCUGUCCCCCGAACUCCCCAGGGCCCCAGGGCCCCAGCACCAAGCUGCCCCUGAGUCCGGACCUGCCAGGCUCCCAGCCCCUGGCCUUGCCCUUGGGCAGCCCUCGCAUGCCUCUCCUGGGGCAGCAGAGCUCAGAGGCCCGCAUCAUCCGCAUCAGUAUCAACAACGACCAUGGGAACCUGUAUCGGAGCAUCUUGCUUACUAGUCAGGACAAAGCCCCCAGUGUGGUGCGGAGAGCCUUGCAGAAACACAAUGUCCCCCAGCCCUGGGACCGGGACUACCAGCUCUUCCAAGUCCUUCCUGGGGACAGGGAGCUCCUGAUUCCUGACAAUGCCAAUGUCUUCUAUGCAAUGAGUCCAGCUGCCCCCGGAGACUUCGUGCUGCGACGGAAGGAAGGGACCCAGCACAUGCCCUCUCUGUAUUCGACCUGAGGCAGGCCUCUCCUCCCCCUGGGACACAGGCCCCAUGGGAAGCUAAAGACCAGGAUUCUAUCACCAUGAGGAUGGUGGAUCUUUCUCCUGGACAGCCUCCAUC